rnacentral:tRNA from 1 species
ACAUUUGUAGCUCAGAGGAUAGAGCGUUCGGAUACGAACCGAAAGGUCGAAGGUUCGAAUCCUUCCAAAUGUG